GAAAGGAGUUCACACUAGGGUUGAGCUGAAGAAAUAGAAAUACAUAAAAGAGAAUAUUUACCAACAUGUAUACUUCAUUUUAAAGAAGAAAGUUAUUCACAUCUGGGAUGACAUGAGGACAAACCCCCCUGCAGCUGAGGUCCUGUUCUCUGCUGUGGGCGAAUGAGCUCAACUGGACCAGGACAGCACCGUGUUGGAUGUGUGUUGUGGAACAGGAACCAUCGGCAUCUCUCUGGCAAAGGCUUGACCAAUGUAGAAUUCCACUGUGGAAAAGCUGAAGAUGUGUUCCCCAACAUCACUGCAAUUGUUGACCCUCCAAGAGCAGGGUUGCAUCAUGCACUGUGAGACCAUCCUGCUGUGGAGUGGACUACAGCUCCAGCACUAACAGUCAGACAGCAGAUCCUGGAUAACUGAUGCUGUGCUCUCAUUUCACCACAACAGCUACUCAUCUUCUCUUCAAAAAUCUCUUUGGACACAUUUAAAGAUGGUAUUGUUUGAAACUGUCAAAUGUUAAUUUAAGUUAGAACCAUGUAUAUUUUCCUUUUAUUCUGUUGUCAGUAAAACCCAGUCAAAAACAGCACAAGGCAGUCAGUGUCUGGUCAUGAUUUAUUUGCAUAAAUCACUGUGUUGUAACAGUGAUCAUCUGACGUUUAACAUCCCUUCAAUGAUAACUAAAAAGCACAUGUUUUUUCAUACAGUGAAUACACACUUGGCAAGAAUGAUGGAACAAGUCACACUCCAGAAAUCUAUAGGGAAAGCACAUUCUGCACUCUUAGCAUGGCAGCAGCCUUGUGCUCAUGGAAAACAAGAAAGUGCCUUAGAUGCAGUAAACAUUCAGGAGAACCACACCAACUAAAAUAUUUAAGUCAAUGACAGUUUUAUUAAGUCCCUGUCCUAAGAAAACAUGAUUCAUCCUUUCCACUGUGUUUGUGUUGAUGGUAAAUACUGGGACUUCAAAGACCUUGUUGUCGUAUCUCAAGGCCAGAACAUUUCUCCUCCCUAAAUGUGAUUUUAGAAAAACAGCAGUUUUCUUCAAACAGGGACCAUCUUUUAAUCCAACAGUUAUUGCAUCUUUUUUCCAUAUUCAACAUUGUAUUCCAUUUAUAUAUUUGUGAAUUGCUAUGCAGCACUAUUCUAUAAAAAUGCACAAUUGUUAAGCUUUGGUUCACACUGCUUUUCAAGCCAUUGAAUAUUAUGACAUGGUCUGAUUUUGUUCGAGGUAUGGAGUUACCAAAUCUUUUUUGUAGGUAAACUGCCUUCUGAAAUAAUGAAGGUGGUUCAAACUAUUGAAUACACCAAAAUAGUAAGAUCAGAAUAAAAUGAAAUGAGCAAUCACCUCAUCACCAUGGCAAAUGUACCCAAGCCAUACAAGCUCUCAGACAAAUGCAAAUAAGCACAUGCAAAAAAAUAAAUAAAAAUUAUAUAUUCUCUAAAGUAUCAAUACAAGACAGCAAGCACCACUCCACAGCAAAUACACAACAUACAGAAUCACAAAUGCAGAUUUGAGAGGCAUUUCCCUUUUGAGACACAAUGUACCAUUAAUGAAAGGGGAAAAACUAAAAGCAACAUGUCCAACUUUUCCUUCCAGUCAAUCAUUCAAGAGUUAGAUUAUGAGCAUAACAAUUGUAACAUAAGCAAACAUCAUCUUCUCUCCCUUAUUAACUACAGUACCUCAAACACUUGAGCUCGUGUUUUCUAUGCAGUGCUUUCUGAACAAAACACUAAUUAGAAUUAAUCACGUUGACCACUGAUAUACAUUACCACUCAUUAAUUGAAAAAGGUUGUUCAUUUCAUUCAAAGCAAAGUUAUAACAUUAGUGCUUUUCUGAACCGCAGUUGAAGUGUGCACAUUCAAUUUAGAAAUACAUUUGUUUCAUGUCCGAAUAUACCUUAAUGAGGGUAGACAUAAGUAAUUUUUCACAGAUGAAAACAAGGCCGUCUGUUUUUUCAAUGUCAUGCACAUAAAAGUCAUAAUCACAAAUUUUUACAACUCAUGUUCUCGGUCCAAUCCACUUGAGUUGUUUCGUCAGCUAAAUGAUCAACAUCAAUUCAAACAACAGUUCAGCCCUUUGAAGAGACUGCAAGACCAUCAAAAAUCAAAUAUGCGCUACUCUGACUAAGGUCCAUAAUGACUAGACCUGGUCACUGAAGAUAAACACACACACACACACACACACACACACACACACACACACACACACUCAA